rnacentral:tRNA from 1 species
GAGGGUAUAGAUCAAUGGUAGAGCGCGUGCUUAACAUGCAUAAGGUCCUGGGUUCAAUCCCUAGUACCUCUA